UACAGAGGGUGCAAGCGUUAAUCGGAAUUACUGGGCGUAAAGCGCGCGUAGGUGGUUUGUUAAGUUGGAUGUGAAAUCCCCGGGCUCAACCUGGGAACUGCAUUCAAAACUGACAAGCUAGAGUAUGGUAGAGGGUGGUGGAAUUUCCUGUGUAGCGGUGAAAUGCGUAGAGAUCGGGAGGAACAUCUGUGGCGAAGGCGACUACCUGGACCAGCACUGACACUGAGGCACGAAAGCGUGGGGAGCAAACAGG
rnacentral:rRNA from 1 species